UACGUAGGGGGCAAGCGUUGUCCGGAAUCAUUGGGCGUAAAGCGCGUGUAGGCGGCUCAGUAAGUCCGCUCUGAAAGCCCGGGGCUCAACCCCGGGAGGCGGGUGGAUACUGCUGAGCUUGAGUCCGGAAGAGGCGAGUGGAAUUCCCAGUGUAGCGGUGAAAUGCGUAGAUAUUGGGAGGAACACCAGUGGCGAAGGCGGCUCGCUGGACCGGUUCGUGACGCUGAUGCGCGAAAGCGUGGGGAGCAAACGGG
rnacentral:rRNA from 1 species